rnacentral:rRNA from 1 species
UGGGGAAUAUUGCACAAUGGGCGGAAGCCUGAUGCAGCGACGCCGCGUGAGGGAUGACGGCCUUCGGGUUGUAAACCUCUUUCAGUAGGGACGAAGCGUAAGUGACGGUACCUGCAGAAGAAGCACCGGCUAACUACGUGCCAGCAGCCGCGGUAAUACGUAGGGUGCGAGCGUUGUCCGGAAUUACUGGGCGUAAAGAGCUCGUAGGCGGUUUGUCACGUCGUCUGUGAAAUCCUAGGGCUUAACCCUGGACGUGCAGGCGAUACGGGCUGACUUGAGUACUGUAGGGGUAACUGGAAUUCCUGGUGUAGCGGUGAAAUGCGCAGAUAUCAGGAGGAACACCGAUGGCGAAGGCAGGUUACUGGGCAGUUACUGACGCUGGGGAGCGAAAGCAUGGGUAGCGAACAGG